rnacentral:rRNA from 2 species
ACGCGAAGAACUUACCUACUCUUGACUCCACAGAACUUGGCAGAGAUGCUUUGGUGCCUUCGGGAACUCUGAGACAGGUGCUGCAUGGCUGUCGUCAGCUCGUGUUGUGAAAUGUUGGGUUAAGUCCCGCAACGAGCGCAACCCUUAUCCUUUGUUGCCAGCGGUUCGGCCGGGAACUCAAAGGAGACUGCCAGUGAUAAACUGGAGGAAGGUGGGGAUGACGUCAAGUCAUCAUGGCCCUUACGAGUAGGGCUACACACGUGCUACAAUGGCAUAUACAAAGAGAAGCGACCUCGCGAGAGCAAGCGGACCUCAUAAAGUAUGUCGUAGUCCGGAUUGGAGUCUGCAACUCGACUCCAUGAAGUCGGAAUCGCUAGUAAUCGUGGAUCAGAAUGCCACGGUGAAACGUUUCCCCGGGC